UCACUCGCCGUUACUGAGGGAAUCCUUGUUAGUUUCUUUUCCUCCGCUUACUGAUAUGCUUAAGUUCAGCGGGUAGUCUCGUCUGAUCCGAGGUCGGAGAUCGAAUGCAAAG
rnacentral:rRNA from 1 species